UACGUAGGGACCAAGCGUUGUCCGGAAUCAUUGGGCGUAAAGAGCGUGUAGGCGGCUUGUUAAGUCUUGCGUGAAAUCUCGGGGCUCAACCCCGAGCGGUCGUGAGAAACUGGCAGGCUAGAGUGCGGGGAGAGGAGAGUGGAAUUCCUGGUGUAGCGGUGAAAUGCGCAGAUAUCAGGAAGAACACCCGUGGCGAAGGCGGCUCUCUGGAACGCAACUGACGGCUGAGACGCGAAAGCGUGGGGGAGCAAACAGG
rnacentral:rRNA from 1 species